UCAAGAAUAUUCCUCAAUGGCCGAAAGGCUGAAGGAGCGACGCCGCGUGUAUGAUGAAGCCCUUCGGGGUGUAAAGUACUUUUCUCUCCGACGAAACAAUGACGGUAGGAGAGGAAUAAGGGGCUGCUAACCUCGUGCCAGCAGCAGCGGUAAUACGAGGGCCCCAAGCGUUAUCCGGAUUUAUUGGGCGUAAAGCGUACGUAGGCUGUUUGUUGCAUCUCCCGUUAAAUCCCAGAGCUUAACUUUGGGGCCGCGGGAGAGAUGGGCAAACUAGAGUCCGGAAGAGGCAAGUGGAAUUGCUGGUGUAGGGGUUAAAUCCGUUAAUAUCAGCAGGAACACCAAAUGCGAAGGCAUCUUGCUAGUACGGUACUGACGCUGAGGUACGAAAGCGUGGGGAGCGAAUGGG
rnacentral:rRNA from 1 species